ensembl:snRNA LOC120094415 U6 spliceosomal RNA
UGGCUUCUGCAGCCUAUGUGACAAAAACCAGAACAAUCCAGAGAACAUUAGCCGGGUCCCUGUGCACGGAUGACACACAGAUCUAUAAAACGUCCUGUAUUUUU